GUCAAGGGAAGCUUGUCGCUUGUCCGUAGUAGUUGUUAAAUUUCUUUAAUUUCGUGAUACGAGGGGGAUACGAGCCAAAUAACACGUUGGUAAAAUAUUUAUCUUUGAUGACUCUAUACCCGCCAUUCUCUAUGCUAACCUGCCAAAACCAGGCGUUGACAUCAACAUUCUAGAAUCGCGCUUCAAUGUGAUUCGUCUUGCUAAGGAUAGUAUUGUACGCGGAAUCGACUACGACCCGGGGAAUAGAUUGGUGUACUGGUGCGAUUCUUUUGCUGAUAAAAUAUAUCGAAUCCCAAUUGAUGGAGAGAGUUCCAAAGAAGUCCUUACAAAUACAAUCGAUCCUUCUUCCUUGGCUCUUGAUCUUGAGAAAGGGAAAAUGUAUUGGAUUUCGGAUAUGUCGGCUGCUAUCACAGAAGCCAAUUUAGACGGUUCCUCUGUUGUAUCUAUCUUUGCCUACGCUAACGUGACUAUGAGACCAACUGGGCUCCUGUUUGAUCCGUUC